AUUGAAAAUACUGCAGCUCCUGU
rnacentral:piRNA from 1 species